UCGCUCAGACUUAGACGGUACUGAAGGAACGUUGAAGACGACGACGUUGAUAGGCCGGGUGUGUAAGCGCAGCGAUGCGUUGAGCUAACCGGUACUAAUGAACCGUGAGGCUUAACCUUACAACGCCGAAG
rnacentral:rRNA from 1 species